AGAGUUUGAUCCUGGCUCAGGAUGAACGCUAGCUACAGGCUUAACACAUGCAAGUCGAGGGGAAACGGACAUCGAAAGCUUGCUUUUGUAUGGGCGUCGACCGGCGCACGGGUGAGUAACGCGUAUCCAACCUGCCCACCACUUGGGGAUAACCUUGCGAAAGUAAGACUAAUACCCAAUGACGUCUCUAGAAGACAUCUGAAAGAGAUUAAAGAUUUAUCGGUGAUGGAUGGGGAUGCGUCUGAUUAGCUUGUUGGCGGGGUAACGGCCGCCAAGGCUACGAUCAGUAGGGGUUCUGAGAGGAAGUCCCCACAUUGGAACUGAGACACGGUCCAAACUCCUACGGGAGGCA
rnacentral:rRNA from 1 species